rnacentral:rRNA from 1 species
UACGUAGGUGACAAGCGUUGUCCGGAUUUACUGGGCGUAAAGAGCGCGCAGGCGGUCGAUCAAGUCGAGUGUGAAAGCCCCCGGCUCAACUGGGGAGGGUCAUUCGAUACUGAUCGACUCGAAGGCAGGAGAGGGUAGUGGAAUUCCCGGUGUAGUGGUGAAAUGCGUAGAUAUCGGGAGGAACACCAGUGGCGAAGGCGGUUACCUGGAGCUUUGCUGACGCUGAUGCGCGAAAGCGUGGGGAGCGAGUCCGG